GAUCAUGGCUCAGGAUGAACGCUAGCUACAGACUUAACACAUGCAAGUCGAGGGGCAGCAUGACCUAGCAAUAGGUUGAUGGCGACCGGCGCACGGGUGAGUAACACGUAUCCAACCUACCGGUUAUUCCGGGAUAGCCUUUCGAAAGAAAGAUUAAUACCGGAUAGUAUAACGAGAAGGCAUCUUCUUGUUAUUAAAGAAAUUUCGAUAACCGAUGGGGAUGCGUUCCAUUAGUUUGUUUGGCGGGGUAACGGGCCC
rnacentral:rRNA from 1 species